CAAGGAAUUUUCGGCAAUGGGCGCAAGCCUGACCGAGCAACGCCGCGUGCGGGAUGACGGCCUUCGGGUUGUAAACCGCUUUUCGGGGGGACGAUGACGACGGUACCCCCGGAAGAAGCCCCGGCUAACUCUGUGCCAGCAGCCGCGGUAAGACAGAGGGGGCGAGCGUUGUCCGGAGUUACUGGGCGUAAAGCGCGCGCAGGCGGCUGGCCUAAGUGUCGUGUGAAAGCCCCCGGCUCAACCGGGGGAGGCCAUGGCAGACUGGGUCGCUGGAGCCGCAGAGAGGCCCCUCGAAUUGCCGGUGUAGCGGUGAAAUGCGUAGAGAUCGGCAGGAAGACCAAGGGGGAAGCCAGGGGGCUGGCUGCGGGCUGACGCUGAGGCGCGACAGCGUGGGGAGCAAACCGGAUUAGAUACCCGGGUAGUCCACGCCGUAAACGAUGACCACUCGGCGUGUGGCGACUAUUGACGUCGCGGCGCGCCCAAGCUCACGCGAUAAGUGUCCGCCUGGAACUCGAGCCAGAU
rnacentral:rRNA from 1 species